UCAAGAAAGUUGUAUUUGAUUCUCAUGGCUCGGCUUGGCUAAGUGCAGCCAAGGAGCCCUUCAUGGACUAGGGCCCUGAUUUUCCAGGACUAUGACCCCCCACCACUCCCCAGAAAGCAAUGAAUUCACCCAUCUCUUAAUCCUAAAAGGCUGAGAGCUCAGCCACUACUUGCCAGAGUUUGGAAAGGGUGGUCUGGCCUGGAACUUUGAUGGCAGGAAGGCUCACAAGUCCCAGGUCCACAAGGGGAAUUUCAGAGAAGGUGGCAUCCUGAGGCCCCAUCCCAACAGCCUAACGAUCCCCCAGGACUUCCUUCCCCAUAAGUCACUAAAGCCCAGCUUGGGCAGUUCCAUCACUUUCAGUCCUCGGCCACUGGCCAUGUAACUGGAUGACUGCAGUACGGGAGGGCAGGCAUGGUCCAGGGUUAGGGCGGGGGCAGAAGGAAGAGUCUACUCUCAGUGUGAAUUGGGGUCAGGCCCUCCUCCUCCCUGAGCCUUUAGGUUCUUACUACCCAGAACCCAUGGUGCUUUGAGCUCUAAUCUGCAGAAAUUUCCAUUUUAAAAUAAUUUUGUUUUUAUUUUUUUGAACAGGUAAUGCUUACAUGUGGUUCAAAAUUCAAAAGGUAGAUGCUUUAUAAGCACUGUUCUCAUUAGCUCUUCCUACCACUCCCUGUGAGGCGGGGACAGGGAUAGGAUCUGCAUGUCAUGGCUGGGGUAACUCCAUCUAGCUGACAUCACUGGAGCCUGCUUGUGGCUCUGCCAUCCCUGCGGUCCUCUCUGCUGCCAGUGCAGCCGCCACCACAGACCUCUUCUAUCUUCAACCUCCACUGCCCCGCUGCUCUGGAGAGAUGAUGAUCCCAUCUCCAACUCUACGCUGAAAACUGAGUCAAUCCAGUUGAAAUCCCUUCACCCAUCAUCCUCUCCAUCUGAAGUGUUCUGUCUAUCUACCCCCUCAAUCGUUCUGAAAAUAUUUCAGUCCAUCUUCUUUCUUUACAUUCUUGGUCCCAAUCUCUUGCUGGCCCUGUGACCUCAUGCACCUUUCUCUGUGAAUUAUCCAUCUUCUCUCUGUUGUCUUCGGUCCUUGCUGGUCCGCUUCCCUCAGACUCAGGUUCCCAUUGUGACUGAAGGACUGAAAGGUCCCUCACUUGCUCUUCCUCUUUAUUGCCUUAAGUCAGCACCCCACUUCUCUCCUCUCUGUCACAGUCACUAACCAUCCUCUCCUCAUGCCCUUAGAAUCUGUCCUCCCGUUUGCCAAAUAAAAACUAAAUGAAUGAGUGAAAUCCACUCGUCUGCUCCAGUUCUUAAGCUCUUUGGUCUCUGCAGCAUUUAACACUGCUGGCCAUCUCCUUUCUUCCGCACCCUCCUGUUCUUGGUUCAUGGGACACUGUACUCACAGGUUCACUCCCAGCUCUGCUGUCCUUGUCAUUGGCCUCUUCAUGUUUCUCCUGCCUCCCCUCUCACUGAGGGAGUGCCUUCAAGCUCUGGACUUAGACCCUCUGUUCUUUUAUCACACACACGCACACACACCCCUUGAGAGGUUCCUCUGCUCAGGGCUUCAUCUGUCACCUCUAGGACUCCCAAAUCCACGUCUCUAGCCCUCAGAUCAGGCUUGCACUUUAGCUUCCUUGGCAUCUCCACUGAAAUAGAACACACCACCUGGUCCUCAGCCCCUCACCUAGCCAUUCACGGAGCCAUCCUAUUUCUGUAUUAGAAUCUUCCCAUGUACCUAGGAAUGACAUUUCAGAACCGCUCUAACUUUCCCACCUCCCUGCAAAUCCAACUGAUUACUUAGGCCUGACUGACUGAACUCAAAAUGCUUUGCUAACUUCUGCUUUGCAGAGCAGAAAUGUUUUGCUAAGUUUUGUCUCUCAGUUUUCCCGUACCAUUUUAGUGAGGGAAAGAAGCUACAUGGAAGAGUAGGUUUGUCCUGGGGACAAGAAGCUCAGAAUCUUGGAGCUGCUCUGGUGGUUACGUGGCCCAACACACUUUAGGCCGUCAGGGAACAAGCACAGAGUCAUUUCAAAGAGAAGACUCAGUAAAAAGCAAAAAAGAAUAAAAAGGCCUAAAAAAUUUUCAGCCUAUGGGUAAGAAGCCGCUUUAGUUGAAAUCUUACUUCUUGGGGUUUUGUUUACAUGCUGACAAAUUCUUGACUAUAUUCCUCUGUCAUUUUCUACACUUUAAAAAGGUCAAAGAAAUCUGAAAAACGUCUUACCAUCACUGCCUCGAGACGAUAUCGACUUCACGUCAAUGGACUCUUUCCUCCUGUUCUUGUAUCUGAAUGAGUGGGACUCUGAGGGUGGCAGAUGCUUGUGGAGUGAAUUUAAAAACCAGAAAAAAGAAGGAUAAAGGAGAUUUUAAAUAGUUGUACUCAAUGGCAAAAAGGGAUACAGUGUCACCAAUUAAAAACAGCUCCCACUCACUGAG